GACGAACGCUGGCGGCGUGCCUAACACAUGCAAGUCGAGCGAGAGACUUCGGUCUCUAGCGGCGGACGGGUGAGUAACACGUGGGUAACCUGCCUCAAACAGGGGGAUAGCCUUCCGAAAGGAAGAUUAAUACCGCAUAACAUCAAGCUAUCGCAUGGUAGUUUGAUCAAAGGAGUAAUCCGGUUUGAGAUGGACCCGCGGCGCAUUAGCUAGUUGGUGAGGUAACGGCUCACCAAGGCCACGAUGCGUAGCCGACCUGAGAGGGUGAUCGGCCACAUUGGAACUGAGACACGGUCCAGACUCCUACGGGAGGCAGCAGUGGGGAAUAUUGCACAAUGGGCGAAAGCCUGAUGCAGCAACGCCGCGUGAGUGAUGAAGGCCUUCGGGUUGUAAAGCUCUGUCUUUGGGGACGAUAAUGACGGUACCCAAGGAGGAAGCCACGGCUAACUACGUGCCAGCAGCCGCGGUAAUACGUAGGUGGCAAGCGUUGUCCGGAUUUACUGGGCGUAAAGGAUGCGUAGGUGGAUAUUUAAGUCAGAUGUGAAAUACCCGAGCUCAACUUGGGUGCUGCAUUUGAAACUGGAUAUCUAGAGUGCAGGAGAGGUAAGUGGAAUUCCUAGUGUAGCGGUGAAAUGCGUAGAGAUUAGGAAGAACACCAGUGGCGAAGGCGACUUACUGGACUGUAACUGACACUGAGGCAUGAUAGCGUGGGGAGCAAACAGGAUUAGAUACCCUGGUAGUCCACGCCGUAAACGAUGAGUACUAGGUGUAGGGGGUAUCGACUCCCUCUGUGCCGCAGUUAACACAAUAAGUACUCCGCCUGGGAAGUACGGUCGCAAGAUUA
rnacentral:rRNA from 1 species